AUUGAACGCUGGCGGCAGGCCUAACACAUGCAAGUCGAGCGGAUGAAGGGAGCUUGCUCCUGGAUUCAGCGGCGGACGGGUGAGUAAUGCCUAGGAAUCUGCCUGGUAGUGGGGGAUAACGUCCGGAAACGGGCGCUAAUACCGCAUACGUCCUGAGGGAGAAAGUGGGGGAUCUUCGGACCUCACGCUAUCAGAUGAGCCUAGGUCGGAUUAGCUAGUUGGUGGGGUAAAGGCCUACCAAGGCGACGAUCCGUAACUGGUCUGAGAGGAUGAUCAGUCACACUGGAACUGAGACACGGUCCAGACUCCUACGGGAGGCAGCAGUGGGGAAUAUUGGACAAAGGGCGAAAGCCUGAUCCAGCCAUGCCGCGUGUGUGAAGAAGGUCUUCGGAUUGUAAAGCACUUUAGGUUGGGAGGAAGGGCAGUAAGUUAAUACCUUGCUGUUUUGACGUUACCAACAGAAUAAGCACCGGCUAACUUCGUG
rnacentral:rRNA from 1 species